rnacentral:misc_RNA from 1 species
AUCAUCUUAGCUUCAAUGUCUUUUGAGAGCAACACAGGCUUCUCUGUGGCGGGCAGCUUAGCCUGCUCGGCCAGAGUUGCAUUCUUCCAGGCCCAGGUCUCAUUGAUGACUUUCUCUAACGUUGUCAUCUCCACCUCAGUGAAGAUCUGGUCCAUCUCUGGGAUGAGCCGGGCCCCCUUGAGGAACAUGCUGGAAUGGUUGAGGAGAUUAUCGAGGGCAGACAGCCG